rnacentral:rRNA from 1 species
AUGGGCAGGGUGAAGCGGUCGACGACCGAUAUGCCGUACCUGCCCGGGGCGCCGCCGUUCGCGAGGUUGAACUCGGCCAGCGUCGCGGGGGGCUUGCCCGAGAGCACGCAGCGCAGGGCGCCGCCGCAGUCGCCGGUCUGGCAGCCCCCGCGGCCCGUGGCGGGGUCGAAGGCGCAGCCCGUGCGCGGCCAGAUCCUGCCACCCGUCCCGCCGGCCGCGAACGUCAGGGUCCACGUCUCGCCGGGCGCCAGCUGCGCGCCGCCGCCGCCGCUCACCGGCAUCGCGGCCGCGCACACUGGGAAGGGGCACCGGUUGGUGAUGCUGAAGGUGGCUGCGCCGGCGCCUGCCGUGAAGGCCACCAGGAGGAGGACGACGGUGAGGGCCAAAGAGGUGGCUGCCGGAGUUGCCAUUGUGGUUGACUACUUGACUUUGUAG